AAGAUAUUUAAUUUUCAUGACUAAAGGAGAUGACUUUCAAUAUAGCUUUCUUGCUAGUUUUCUCCACUAUUGCUUCCGGUUUACUAUUUAAGGGAAUCCCAAAAGCCGAUGCAAGGGGGGAUUUCCGAUGUCCGAGGAUGAUCGAUUGUAGUAAAGUGUGUCAAGGAUUUCCUUAUAAAUGUGUGGAUGGCAAAUGCAUAUGUGGGGAAUCAAAGGAAACCCAAGUUUUCAACUCUACCUCUCAACUUGAAGCAAGGGUUCAACCAGAGGAAUCAUGUGCCAAUACUAAGGACUGUAAUAUCAUUUGUCCUCACUCACCCAAAUGUGUUAAUGGCCAAUGUGUAUGCGAGAAAACAUGGAUUUCACCCCCUUGAUGGUGAUUUUGAAAACAUGAAGAAAUGUCCUUGAAAAGGAGUUUCUAGAGAAAGCUAUUUCUCUUAUAAUAAAAGAGUGGUAUUUUUAUUUUGGA